GGGCGGAGCGCGCGGCCCGCUCCCUCUCUCCUCCCCCGGGAGGCGGAGGAGACCCUAUCUCGGGCCGCCGCGCCUAGGCCCGUGAACAGCCUGCGGCAGGGGCAUGGCGGCCCCGAGCAGCGGCGUGCCUGCGAGUGCUUUCUGUAGCGGCGCUGAACCGGAACACCCCAGACGCUUUCUCUCGGUGAGAGGGUGAGCUGGUAGUCAGCCCAUUUCUCACACGCGGAAACUGAGGCCUGCGGAGAGGCGGCCCCGGACAGAGAUGAGGAAAGUCAGGAAGAUGCGAAUGAGGCUCAGAAAGUUUUGUGCUGAGAUUUGAAGAAGGAGAAGAAAAAGAAGGCGGAAUGCUUACCCUGGGAGGGGAACGGCAGCGACAGAGCAAGUCUCAGGAAGGGCCUGGUGUGUGUGAGAGCAGGUGCACAAGUCAUCACCGGAAAACCUUUGGGAUACAGUAUACGAAGUGAGGAGCUGCCAGUGCUGGAAGGACGGGUCCCAGAAGGAGCUCGGAGGAUCCAGAGGAAUGACCAAGUUACCUGCCGAGUCAGGGCCUUGUGGACGUUCGCGAGGAGGCACCACUACCAUUUCUGCGAGGAACUCUAGCUGGAAAAUGCAAGCUCUCAGCAGAGGAAAUGCAAUCUUCCCUUCUCUGGGCUAGAAGGGUGGUCGUGGUAGGCUGGGGGGAAUGAUGGCAUGGUCUCUCUCUGCAGAUCUGUUUUCUGAGUCCCUGAGCUGCAGCUGUUGAGUUUCCAGACACAAACAAGUACGUAUUCUGUGAGCCUCGCUGAGCCCACACAGCAAGGAAGAGCCAAGCUGGAUUCCAUUCUGCUUUGCACAUCAGCAGCCCUGCUGCCAGCUGAACUCCAGGGCAAACUCUGUGCCUGGUAAUGAUGCAGGCUCUAGGUAUAGCACAGCCGGACUGGUGUGGGUGGUUAAUGGGGACACGCCUGGCCUUGAUUAUUUGGGGGAGAGUGAGAAAUGGAAGGAGAUGAAGGGUUGCAGGAGCAUACAAUCAAUCUCAGUAGAGCUGGUUCACAGCAAGGACAGAUCUGGCUUUCCUGGUCGUCAUCAACAUGCCGGUGUGUGUGACUGUUUAUGCUUAGGUAAGCCCGGCCUCCCACUCACUAAAAGCCGGCGGUCAGGGAAAAGUGGUCAGCGGCCACCGUGUCCACGGCCACCGUGCAGAGUGUGCACCACACAAAGACGACCAGCUGAGGGCACGAACGUCAUUUCUUGAUGUUGUCUGUUCCUUUUCGCCCACUAUGACCAAGGACUGAGCUCCCUCUACACCAGACCAUAUGGAAGUCGAGCUGGGGGCUUUGUCUGACCAGGAAGAGAUGAGGUGACGUGGAGGGAAGAUGGGAUUUGGGAGGCUCUCAGGCAGGUUUCAGGUGGCUAGUGGGGAAGGUCAGGCUAUGUAAAAGGGCUGAUUGGGACAGUUGCAAUUUGCCUGGGGCAAAAGAGUUGUGAGCUGGGAAUGACAUUUGGCGUGGAGAGAAGGAGCUGAGGUCACUGGGAUGAUGUUACUUAGAAACAGGUGCGGCAUUCCUCAGAUGCUAGGAGAAUCUUGUAUCUCUGCCUGGUCAGUAUGUAAAUGUGAGGAUGAGGACAUAUGCAGAGUGGAGUGGCACAGGCUUUCUCGAGAAUAACGUUUUGUUACCUCAGAGCUGGAAGUUUCCACUAGAGCAGUGGUUCUCAAAGUGCGGUCCCCAAACUAGCAGCCUCCAUGUCACCUGGCAACUUGUUAGAAAUGUGGAUUCUCAGGCCCCUAACCCGCUGAAUCGGAAACUCUGGGGUGGGGCGCAGCCAUCUGUGUUUCAAGCAGCCCUUUAGAUGACCCUAAUGCCCACUAAAGUUUGAGAACCGCUGGUCUAGAUUAUGCAGAUAAAGACUUGCCUGAAUGACCUGGAUUCAGCAGACGUGAGAACUCGGGGGAGGCCUCAGAGGUGCAGGCAAGGUGCCCGCUUCCCUGGCUGUGCUCAAGGUGAGCCGACCUGGUUUUAGCCUCUGUCCUUGGGCCCUGGGUCCCCUGCCCUUUCCAAACAAAUACCGAACCAGAUCAGACCACUCCAUUGGCGCAAGAUCACACUUUAGUUCAGAGACACAUUUGUAUAAAUACUUGAAAUGGAUCCACCCCUGCAGGUGGGAGCCUGAGAACACGGGGCUCUCCACAAUCCUGCGACUCGCAGCCCUCCAGGCGAUGGGUUUAAUACUGAAGACACUCCUGGUCAUUUCUGAAGACAGUUUGGGGUGCAGCUACAGUGCUUGCUUUGACACUCACCAUCCACCCCUACUCCACAUCUCUCUUUGACUAAUUUUUUCCCCUCUGAGGUAGAUUAUUUAACGAGGGAACCAAGUAGAAAAAACUUUUUUCAUUUAACUUUGUUAGUCCUUUGCAAACAGGCUGACCAAGUCUUCCUUUUGGGUCCGUAAGAGCACUCUUUACCUUUUAACCUAUGCCCUCUACUUGAACCCAAGCAAGGUCCAGCCCACUAGAUAGUAGACUUUAGCAUCUGUGGUCUGUCUCCUCUCCUCUCCUCCCCCCAUGGAUUCAUGCCCAGCUGCAGCAGCGGGGGGCCUGGGUAGGCAGGCCACGCCACCCCCAGACGUGGGGUCACCGUAGCGUGACCCUGGUCUGCACCCCGCGCCCCGAGUCCACGAGCAUAAGCCCGGCCCGCCCGCUGGGUCACGGGGCGCACGGCUGGCUUCCGCACGGCUUGCCAUCCUCCGGCUUCAGAGCCUCGUCGCAGGUGGUGGAGGCCUGGCCUCUGGGGUCGCGGCACUCCACCGCCCGCCGCUGCCAGCCGUCCCCGCAGCUGCUGGAGCACUCAGACCAGUCUCCCAGGACCCACUGCGCGUUGAGCAGGGGCUGGAUGACGUUGGUCGUCGCUCUCUCUUUGCUGCUCUGUAUGCUGAAGUUCACGUCAUUAGGGACAAAGAAGGUGUAUUUGACUUUGGGGGGAAAGACCUCCCCAGGGACUGUCAGGAGUUGCACGGUCAGGGGCUCAGGCAGGGGCCAGAAGCUCUGCAGCCGCUCCAGGGAGGUGAUGGAACCGCUGUACUUGAGGAUGGUGCCCUUCACCAGGAUGUCCUGUUCCACGGCGGAGAUGGCCAGGUUUCCGUUGAGCAGGUACUGCCCGUCGGCGGUCUUCAAGGCCAGGUAGUUGCCGUCGUUCUGGACCCCUGGGUGGCUCCGCUGUUUCACGUCAAUGUUAGUGGCGCCAGCUGGGAUGGUGACGAUGUCACUGUAGCCAUAACUAUGACAGGAAGACACCUUUAGGACCCGUGGCUCCCCAGCCCGGUACUCAGGAAGUCAGCAUGCGGGGACUGGGGGUGGGCAGACAAAAGUUUGCUAGCGAAUAAGGAAGUAGUCGCCCCAAAGUGCCCAGUAAAUUAGCUGCUGAGGCGGACAGGAACACUUGGUACACCGGGACUUUUGCUUGGCCUGGGAGCUCUAUUUCAAAUGUUUGGAGUUUCGAUCUCGACAAUAGCACAGAGGGGAAGGCAGCCUAGAGGGGGUGAAUGCUGUGCCGUUGCUGCCAAACCUGGGCUCUUGGCUGAAAAGAGAUCUCAGGCACACGCAGCUCCUUGCACUGGUGUAAACUUUGCUUGGCCACUUUCAUCCCAGAGCUCACACCCACGUUGGAAAGAUCUGAUCCACACACCGAUUCCAGAAGCUGACCAGGUGGACGCGUCACGCCACCUCCUAGGGUCCAUCAGUUCCUGGUAUUUGGUUAUCGUGGCUCUAGGGCAGGAAGCAGGCAACACAGCCUGCUCCGAGGGGCCUUCUUCUGGGCGUGCCCAGCACCACGAGCGGGGCUGCCCGGGGUGCUGGGAUGCUGUUUGGGGAAAAUGUUCCAACUUUAUUGUGGGUCUGGGGCUUUAUGUGGGAUGGAGAAACCUUAAUUCUUACUCUUGUCUUUUGGGGUAGAAGUAUUUGGCUUCGCAGGCUGGGAGGGAGGCGGAGAGGACUGAGGACGGCAGCCACUCUGCUCCUGGCUGUCCUUGCCUCGCGCCCACUGGGCGGCUGGGAAAGGACCCUGGGCCCCAUGUCUGAUGCCUGAGAGAGCUCUGUGAAGGGACCCAACGUCUGACUGUCCCACACCCCGUGCUUCUUUUUUCUAUAUCCUUUGAGUUUAAAUUUGAAAAGACUCCUGAGUUGUCUGCCAUAGGCAGAUUCUGUUUUCUGAGGCUGAUGAGAGGAGAGAGAGCGAGGGAACCAGCUAGGGGUGUAGUGCGGCCGCAGGCGCUAGCCCUUCCUCCCCGGGAAGUGUGUGUGGGACAGGGAAAACCCGCCCGGGAAUGGGUAAACCUAGGCUCACCUCUGGCCGCCGUGACCUACCACUGUGACCCUAGAAGAGUCAUGUAGUCUCUUUGUGCCUAUGCUUCCUCAUCUGUAAAAGGGGAGUAACGGUCUUGGCCCCAAUAGACUUAUCUGAGGAAUCCGUCGAGCCCACAGAAGUGAAAGCACUUGAACAGAUAUAGGAGCUUUAUGAACGUGUGGCUUUAAGGUGGAAGAAAGCGUCUGGAGUUCUCAGAUUCAUGAGGCCCUGAGGCUGCCAAGACCCCCCUGUGGGCCCCCGUUUCUGAAGAUCCACCUGCAGAAAGGGCAGAGCCCGCCAGAUUAGGGUGAAAUGUCCUUCCCACAGCAGGCCUGGAAGAGCUGCUUUCUGGCAAAAGUCCCGGUUACUCAGUGUAGCUCUACUGCCAGUUGACUCAGAGAAGAUACAUCCCUAUCCGUGUGGCCUCUGGCUGCCCUGAGAGCCGUCAUCUCUGCGGGCCGGACCCUGGGCCAAGUGCUCUGCCCAUCUCGUGCCUCCUCACAGCGACUCUGAGAUGGAGAGGACACCGAGUUUUAUGAAGGAACUGAAGUUCAGUGCUCCGCGGGGAUGGGAGUCGCAGCCACAACUCAAACUUAGGCCCCCGUGACUCCAAAGCCCGGUCCGCUCGCGCAGCUAGGGACAGAACUUCCGGGGAGACCCACCUGGAGGGGUUGAGGGAACCGGACACCUUCCUGCACGAGUUGCCUUUGCCGCCGCACACGCCGCAUUUGUCCAGCUUCCUAGGCGAGUCCACCACGUGGUCACAGCCAGCCUUGACACACUGGCCACGGACACAGAUGGCCAGAGUCUCGGGCCCGCACGGAGUGCCGUCGAUCACCUGCAGCGGGGAAGCGGGGGUGGGGGGGGGGCGGUCAGAGGGCCCAGUGAGCACUGACGCCGCCCACUCUUGGGCUCAGGCCAGGGGGCCCUCCUCCCCACCUGUGCACCUGAGUUCCAGAAGGAUCCUCACCUUGGCUUCGAACACUUUGAACUCACUCCGCCCCCGGGCUCGGCAAAAGAGCUUGCAGCGGUCCCGGGGGGACACCCCUGCGUACUUGGGGACCCACUGCAGCAGGUUCCCCUCCAUGUCCGUGUAAUUGUAGGCAUUGUACUUCUCACACUGCUGCUCCCUGAAGCUCUUCCCUAAAAUGAGGGCGAGAGGGCAUGGAGUUAACAGGCUGAGCUGAAGCAGGCAGGACCCCACGGGAGAAAUGCCGAGAUUCCGGGCACCCUUCUUCCUCCCGGACUUGACCCAACCUGAGGACACAGGUCCAGUGUCACCUGGGCCUGACUUCCCUGGACACCGACCUAAGCCCUGACUCACGGGGCAAGGAAAGGAGCAGCCAGCCUCAGCUGGGCUUUCUGGGGAAAACAGUCUUCCCGUUUGGGGAGAAUAUUAAUUCUGCUUUACAGAUGAACAAAUUUAGGUGGGGACAGGGGAAGCACGGAAUGACACGUGGAGUUAUGUUCUUGGGCCUCUGCGGAUCGUGAUUUAUCUUGACCUCCUUGGACAUGUGGCCAAAGGCUCCCAGAUGUACAUCUCUAGUUCUGACCUUGCCUCUACACCCCACUUGCUAUAAUUCUGGGUCUCUCUGGGGGAGCUCCAUUUGUAGAUGCAGCCAUUACCUCCAGCUCAGCGAGGCCCAACUCCAUAUGGUUUCUCCAUAUGAAGAACUGGCUGGAUUUUCAUUUGGUGAUGCUACCGCAUUCCAGCCUGAGACUGGAACCCUGGUAUCUUCUGAAUAUUUGCGCAUCUACAUCCACUAUUCCCAACCUGUCAUUAAGUCCUGUACUCUACUCAGGACGAUCUGUGAUUUUAAAUGUCUCCUUCCCACUGUCAGCAUCUUGGUCCACUGCUCACAAGCCAAGGCCUGUGGUUUCCUGCGAGACUUGGUGCCCAGCCUCCGACACACAGCCUGCUUCCUCUCCCGUCCUGCUGCACGCUGCCUCCAGAACAAUCUGUCUGAAGUAAGACCUGGGCUUUUCCCUUCCACAAUCCUGAAGUUAAACCCGCUCUUACUACUGAGGUUCUCCACGCCAGCUGUACAUCUGCCUGGUCUGUGGAGCUUCAAAUCCCGGGUGGCCGUGCACUCCUCCUGAGACUCUGAGUCAGGACACCUGAGGCGUCUGGGCCUCUGUGUUUGGAAAAGCUUCCCAGGUGACCUGAUGGGACAGCCAGCACAGAGAGCCUCCUGAGGCUAUUUUAGCUUUUACGCACCCUUGGCUGGCCUGGAAACGCUGGCCCACCCUGCUCAGCUGUGUCCUGGGGGGAUCAUAGCCCCCAUCGCAGCGCGUCCUCCUGCACCUCAUCUCUGUCUCAGCCCUCCAGGCCCUGCUCAGCCCUGACUCCCCAAGAAGCUUCCGACCAGGCCAGGCCUCUCCUCGCUCUGGAUUCCUUGUCAGUCUGGGGUCUGUGCCUCACAGAUUGACCUUUAAUUGCUCUGUAAAAGGGGUUUGGAUCUCUAACAAGAUCUGCAUGUUCUCUGAGUACAGAGAACAUGCUUCUUAUGUCAUUAUAACACCUAUUCCAGUUCUGCCCACACAAGAGGCACCAAAACACUCACUGACUGAGAUGGCUGGUCCCGGUGCACCUGAAAUCAUGGUAUCACCUACGGUCCGUGUCUACCGCAUGCCUAUAUCCAUUCCCCUCCCCCUUCUCUCUCUCUCAUUCCCCCGGGAACGCUUCACGCGUGUGCCAGGCAGACUCGCACAGCUCCAGAGCUUCGUGCCGUUACUGAUCCUCCUCAUCUUGCAAAACUGCAAAGCCUCCAGAUUCCCUCAUUAGACACCAUUCCAAUGCCAGUGCGCCUCUGCGCUUGGAUGCGUCUCUCUGCUUGUCGUUUGCAGCCUGCCAAUACUUCCUGGGGCUGCACAAGGGGAGCUGGAUGGGAUGGUGGGGAAAAGACCUGCAAUGAUUUGCUCUCACGUCGCCUGCUGCCCCUGAGUUAAUGUGUGGGCUUUCUAGCAGGCACUGGGGAGGACGUCCCCAGGAGAGGCAGAGGUGGGGCUGCUUCCCAAGAAGGGGCCGCCAGGCAGCUACCACGCUCCGAGAGGAGAUGGGCGACUCUUCUCAGGGGGAAUGCGCGCUAGGGUCAGAUGCAGAAAUCUUCCCUCCGCCCUGAGCUGGAUGUUGGCUGGAAAGAUAUUGGAGGUUUGGCUCUGACCCUGGCUUUGGAAAACGCCUCCAUUCUGCAUACAGACGAGGGUUCAGACGUUAUCCUAGACGCUCGCCCCUCUGCAAAGCCCUCCCCCAGCUCUAAUGAAUAAGUUUGGUUGGGAGUGACGCCCUCCAUCUCCACAUGUUGGAAGACCAGGGCAGUGUCUCUCCUUGACUUUGCCAGGCUCUCCCCGGACAGGGAGAGCUGUCCUGGGUCGCCAUGGGCUGCUCUAAACCAUUUAUGUCUGCACCCAGGAAAGCUCUGCGCCCGGGAGAGCCCCGCACUCCUCUGGGGAUCUGCUGCAGGCAACACAGCAGCUGCUCUGGCCGGUGUGGCGAUUACCAUCAGGGGGGCACUCCUCCGUGUGACACGACUGGUACUUGGCUCUCCGACCCAGGCAGUAUCUCCCUCCGUUCCGAGGCUCGGGGUCCUCGCACUCGCGGUGUGAAAACUGUACUCCUCCUCCGCAGGUCCGUGAACAUUCUCCCCAGGGUCCCCACGGGGACCAGCCUCCAUCCACCACGGCCUGCAACACACAAGGCUGCGCUGAGUGGGGAGCAGAGGGCAGGAGGCCUCCUCACCUAGUUGCGCCCGUCCUGGGCCCGCGACUGCUCUUGCGCUGGAGUGUUCCACACCUAGCACCAAGCCUCACAGGCCUUCAAGUCAGCUCCGCGGCAGCCCCAAAGGCAGAGUCCCCUGAGUGCCCGGAGCCCUGCCGACAUCAGCCAUCGGCUCUGAGUACGGUCUUGAGCAGCUCCCCUCGACUCUGGAUAAAUAUGCUUUGCUUUGUCCAAAGAAUCAAGAACCAGUUGUGUGGGGCUUCCCUGGUGGCGCAGUGGUUGAGAAUCUGCCUGCCGAUGCAGGGGACACGGGUUCGAGC